CGGAAUUAUUUUAUAUCAAAUUUUUGCUAAUAACUAGUUUUGUACUUUUUUUUUGUUUUUUUUUUUUUUUUUAUUUGUAAUGGCAGUGCUGAAUAAUCUGAAGCGAAGUUCCGAUGGCGACGAGGAGCCCGAUACUUUCGUCGGGUUUUGCAAGGUUUUUCUACGGGAGCUGCUGAUAUUUCUCAUCUGUUUCUCGGUGUCGGCGCUGAUUUUUGUGCUGUUUUUCUCAGCAUUCAACAGUUUGACGGCGCAGGAACUCAAGCGCCGACCGCGCUCCUACGAUUGCCUCUGGCCCAGGGAAUGGUGCCGCCUGUUCCACCGCGAGCCAACUGCUCCGGGACGAACCAUCCUCAGCCGGUGAAUAGGUCUUCGGUUAUCAGCUAGUUGCUUACAAAUAAGCCGUAAAAAUAGAGGCAUACACAUACCAUUCUGUAAAUAGAAACAUCGGUUUAAUCAACUGCACCUUACUUGUCAUUAAGCACAUCAACUUCCUCCUCAACUGUGGCGUCACUUAAAGUUCCGAACUGUCGGGUAUCUCCUGAUAAAGUUUGAAGUUCAAUUAUAUAUAUAUGCCACCGGGCAAAUGUCUCUCGUCAAGAUUGAGACAUAGUCCCGGGUCAAUAUUAACAAUAUGCAAUCACUUGCAUACGCAGAAAUAAUACCUAAAUCUUAAGAUACAUAACUAUACGUAAAUCCUAACUAUGAGAUAAGCAGCAUGCAACUCUCAAAUGGCUAUUAUAAAUACAUGUGUUUUGACGCCCAGAUUUCAAUUUGUUUCGGUGGCAGUAAUAAGCUGCAUCCCGAUUCAUCUCCAAAGAUGUCUUCCGCAAAUAACUAUAAUCUACCCCUUA